UCAUUCCUAUCCCAUUAUUAUGUUCAAUGCUUCCUAAAUUCCCAGAAUAGUCACAGGUAACUUUACAACCAUAACGUAAUUUCCAUUCCAAUAACACCUAAUUAAUUUCAUUAUUUUACAUAAAAUGUUGUCUCCAAUUGGAAACUAACCAUCUUUAGUUACCUCGCAUCAAUUGACCCCUACUAUAAUUAACCCACCUUUGCAUAAGACGGAACAUUAAUUGCACAUUCAAACCCAUUCCUUAAUUUCAUAAAAUACAGCCUUUACCCAUAAUCGAUUAAGCAAACCAAAUUAUAACAAAGUCCGAGUGAUUGUUACAUGCAAAUCGCUAUAUUUUUUCCUCUCGUGUGCGUCAAUUAGGUCAUACUUAGUACAUUGUUUUGUACUAACCCCACAUUUUAUACUUAAUAAGUAUAUGUUGGAGGCUUUUGAAGAUUUGAAGGCGAAGCUUGGGAAUCUACUCUCUCAACACAAAGUAUGUCCUCAUAUAUCCGAGGGCAUAGUCUUAUUCUCUUAGUUUCUUAUUUAAAGACUUAUUAUGUAUUUUCAUUCAAUGUAAAGGGUUGUGUACUUAAGAUAUUAUGUUGUGUAUUUAA